rnacentral:lncRNA from 1 species
AAAAGUGGAAAAAAGUGGAAGUAAGAAAAUCUUGAAGUCAGUAGCCUAGCCCGCCGGGGCGGGCUUGUUUAUGCCUGUACCCCCCGCCGGGGCGGGGGUCCCGUUUUCUGCAGCUGUCCUGUUUGGUUUUGACUUCUGUUAGAGCUCAGUUUGUGGGAUUGGGAUGAUGCGUUUGGACUCUAAUAAAAGAAGAAUUCGGCCAGAAGAGAGGAGAGCUUGCUAUUACGUAGAAAAACAACAAUCUUACAACACACAAGGCAAGAAUUCAAGAGCGAUUUCAAGGAUUGAAGAGCGAACGUUGGAGGAGUAAUUUUCAGAGAUUAUCACGACGGUUGCGAAUCAAGGCUACGUGAAGGGGUUUUCUUUAUUCUUCUUCUCUUUAGUCUUAUUUGUAAUUGGGAUGAUGUUUUCAACAAAGUAUUCAGUUUUUAAUUCAUUCGUUAUGAACUAAUUUACUUAUUAGACUUGUGAUGGAUCUUUGGGCGAAACGAUGAUUCUAUAACUUUGAUUUCCAAUUCAAUAAGAUAUUUUCAGUUUAUCUAUGUUAAUUUGAG